GACGUAGGGCGCGAGCGUUGUCCGGAUUUAUUGGGCGUAAAGAGCUCGUAGGCGGUUUGUCGCGUCGUCCGUGAAAACUCACAGCUUAACUGUGAGCUUGCGGUCGAUACGGGCAGGCUAGAGUUCGGUAGGGGAGACUGGAAUUCCUGGUGUAGCGGUGAAAUGCGCAGAUAUCAGGAGGAACACCGGUGGCGAAGGCGGGUCUCUGGGCCGAUACUGACGCUGAGGAGCGAAAGCGAGGGGAGCGAACAGG
rnacentral:rRNA from 1 species